UGGAGGCGUUCCACCGGAGAAGACGAAGAAUAUUCCGUCAAAGUUGACGGAAUAUUCUAACGGCAUCAGGUAACGUCGUUAAGUUCUGUUACUCCGUCAACUCUGAUAGAAUAUUCCUGACUUCUGUUAGUCUCUACCAGGCGCGCACUUGGCCGCACAUGUGAUCGUGGGCUAAGCGGCGCGUAAGGGUGUGUCCGGCCUCCAGCCGGCGAGUGGUUGACGCGUAUGGGUCCGUGACAUCGAGUAGAAUGUUUUCAUAUAUUCAAACCUUCUGUUUGAGCAAACUAUGGGGGGUUUUUCCUAGCUUUAGUGUAUGUGUAAAUUAACUAAUUAUUAUUAGUUGUUUCGCAUAUGGGGAGACUUAUCCUGAGGACAUACGAGGACAAGUGAGGCUAAAGGGCUACAAUCCAUCGACGUAUCAGUAAGUAGGCAUUUGUUUUCGUGUAUAUAUAUAUAUAUAUAUAUAUAUAUAUAAACUUUAUAGUUUCCAUAAAUGCUUUUGAAUUGAUUUAUGCAUAUCAUGCCAUGAUUAAAUAACGUUAUAAGAAAUGUUGUAUUGUGGUGAAAUGCUAAAUAAUCCUACGGGAUGCGCAACUAAGUUUAUUGUCAGGUAAGUUUAUUAUGUUGACUAUAAUUUUUGAAUUGUUAUGGCAUGCUUAUAUUUAUGUAGUCUGCUCAUCAUUGUUGCACCCCAGUGUUAGUGCUUGCCCCGGGCCAAGGCCAAUCUUUCAUGUGUAUGUUCACCUUCGCACCGCACGCUCGCCUUGGAUCCAAGUAGGUGCCAGUUUUGUCGUACAUGUUGCAUUAGGCAACUCCAACUCGUAGGUGAUCGUGAUUAGCACCAGUCUUCACGUGAUUGUAGCACUAGAGCGUAUAUUAUGAUUACACCUAGUCCUGUCGUACAGGUCGCAUUAGGUGACUUUAACUCGUGUGCUAGCAUACAUUGAUGAGCAUUAGUUCAGUCGUACAGGUCGCAUUAAGCGACUCCGACUUGUGUGCUAGUAUAGAUUGAUUGAACCCCUGAUUUUACUUAUCUUACUAUUGAGAUAUUGUGAUGUGGCAUACUUCUGGGUUUACUGUUGAUUUGCAUUUGAUUUCAUACCUAUACGUAGUAUGAUUUUCUAGAAACUAUACAUGUUUGACAGCGAGGGAUUAGUAUGUUCAGAAAAUAAAUGGUUUUUAUAAAAUUUUGUUUUUACCAGUCACCCUUCUGUUUUUCGCCCUUCCAAGUCCUAGAUAGCUGAAUUACUCUGUGGCGUAUGAGGAUUAGCCGAUGAUUCUGACAUAUCCCUGUUUAAGUGUAGGAACUUAUCUCAUUGUGUAUUAAGUACUUAAUUAGUUUCGACUGCACCCUUUUGUCAUCUAUGCAUUGAAUAUUUGUAUUUUAUGGGUUCUACCCACUAUUGCGCACUCACUUUAUUAGUUUGAAUAAGCUCUAGUUUCGGUUUUAAUUUAUUCACAUUUUUACAUCACGGCCAGCAUGCCUCAACUCCAGUCGGGUGUGUCACUAAGAACAUUGCAAAACGUUUGAAAAAGUACGAGGAAAAGAUGAAGGCACACACCCUUUAUGUUAAACAAUCACCUCCCAAAAUCAUAUAUGUUACAAAUAGGUAUAUGGCUACUAUAGAUACAUGCAUCUGCAUAUCAUUCAACAAUUGAAAAUCAUUAUUUCUUCCAUACAAGCAUAAUGAGAGAACCACAAAGAAAUUCGCCAGAAACUAAGUAUUCUGGUGCGGGAAUCCUAGUUUAGAUCGUUGAAUCCUGGUGAAAUAGACGCAUAUAGAACUACAUGCACAAAAUGUGGGCGAAUUUUUGUUUCAAGAAUAUUGCGGUACGCAAGUCUCGAUCUUCACUUCGUUUGUUUUAUAUUAUUCUUGUUCAUUCAAUAUAUAAUGUUGUUAUUCAUUUGUUUAUUAGCAUAUUCGUGUGUGUGUGUAUAUAUAUUUGUUAUUGAUUGUUUAUAAAUAUCCAACAAAAAAUUAAAAAUGAAAUGGUUAUUAAACGGGUCUUUAAAAUACGUUUGUUUUUAAUAUUUAUUUUGUGUAUCUUUCUUGUACAAAUACUUUUAUAUAUUUUCCACCAUUCUUCCUCCACCCUUCUAUAUUUAUUUUUCUUUCAUGUAUUUCCCCCUUCUCUUUAUCCACAGAUGAAGUAAUUCUAGAGUCGAAUAAACAGGUCGAUGUCGCAAAACAUAGAGAGAUAUUAAUGGAACUCCUUUAUAACUCGUACAUUCCAUAUCCCAUCGCAUGGGAAUUGUUGGGAUGGAAUUAUGGAACUGAUGUGAAAAAUAAGUUAACACACAAAAUUAAACCCUCUUUUUAUCAAUUGUAGCAAAGUAUGUAAAUAGGGAUCGUUCUAGACCGGGGAUUAGGAUGGAUUGCUAAACACUUGAAAACUGACUUAGAAAUGUAAAAACAAAGUUUAAAGCACUAGAUUAGACUCAAAAAAUGCAAAACUAAACUCUAAAACACUAAAACGAACCAAAAGAAUCAAAACAGCAACCAAACACUCAAAA
rnacentral:lncRNA from 1 species